GCAAGCCAAUGGUCAUUCUAUCCAUACCGUGCUGUUUGGUAACAACAGCAAUAAAAACACUUGGCGUGGGGGCCUCUUUCUGCAGCCAACUUUUUGUAACAGCUUUUUUGCUUGCAGCCAUGAAUUAAGAAAUGGAUUACAUUUUCAAUUUGCAAAAACAAGAUCCAAAAAGAAUAGUCUUCUAUGACACGACCAAGGAUGGACCGGAUCAGUGAGCUAGUGAAUGUCAACGCUAACCUAACUCCUUACCUGGGUGCUGCAGUUACCUAUGGCGGUUACGAUCCCUUUGCAAAACAAAACGAGUAAACUGUGAUACAAGGACUGAUGUCCUGUGACAUAUUUAUAUUGCCAUAUAGAUUGGGAUAAUGGAGACUUGUUUCUUGGGGGAAGGGUUAGUGUGUCAAAUAAGAGGACAACUACAAGGAGAAGGGGGAUAAGAGGACAAAUCUCAUUAUUGUAAAAAGUUGAGCGCAGGAGCUUUUGCCAAAGCUCUGGUCUUCACAAACACUCAAACACUUGAAAAAAGGAGAUUGGAUGCCUCUACCAUGUGAAUGGACUCUUGUGACACUUACUGCUGUAAUAGACAAUGGUCUCAUUGCUCCUUCCUCUGGAUGUUCGGGAGAAAUAAGACUGAGGAAGGUGCAAAUUGCACCUCCUGAGCCUUUAUUUUGUUGCCCAUUUAACUGUGGUGACUAUCAGCCUGACAGUAGGAUGCCUCAAUUGUUUUAUUUCCUUAUGCAUUCAAAUUUAGUUUUGUCUCUUCCACUCUGUGUGUGUGUGGUUCUGUGUGUGUGUGUGUGUGUGUGUGUGUGGUUCUGUGUGUGUGUGUGUGUGUGGUUCUGUGUGUGUGUGCGUGGAUUUAUACAUACACAUGAGUAUGUGCACAUUUUAAUUCAUUUUGAAAGAAAAUGAACAAACUCUCUAAGAAUGCCUUGAAUUUUGAAAAGCUGAAAAAGCUGAGCAGAAGGCUGGUAGUGUUAGUAGUACUGUCUCCAGGUUAAAUUAUAUUUAAGGGGAAAGCAUUUGUCUUAAUUGCUUUGUUAAACAAACUAUGCCCAGCAAAGAACUGGCUCCUGGGCAUUUCUUGUUUGAUAUAUAUUUUUUGUUUCUCUUGUAUGGUUCAGUGAUUUUAGAUGUGAUCUACAGUAGGAACAAACUCUAAGAGCACAGAUGGAGAAGUGUCCAAUUAGAACGGAACUAAAGCCACGUCCUCCUAAUCUGGUGGUUUGGUUGUCAGUUGGAGACUUUCUUUGGUAUUAUAUUUGUUUUCAUCAGUUUUAAUUUUUUUAAUUUAUUUGUAUUAAUUUGUUUCUUAAGCCCUUGCAUUUAUAGUCCACAUAUAUCAUUAAUUUCAGAUUAUGAUUGAGGCUAUUUUUAGUUUUAGUUUCUCAUCAGCUGUUCACGUGUGGAAAUUUUCUGGAAGAUGAGAAAAGUGACUUAAUGUGGAGCAAGGGCUAUCUAUGUAUGUGACAUUUCUUACAAAAAGUUUUUGUGUAUUUGAGCAGUAAGGAGGCUUAAAGUGUCUGUCUAAUUCAUUAGGCCUAUGUAGGUAAAAUUCGCUGAAACCACAUGAAGAAAUGGCUUAUUUUCUUGCCCAAGCUUGUCAUAGCUAACCACCCUAGCCUAGGAUACUUUGCUAUUUCAGCAUUUGGUCUUUAUCCACUCUCUGGUUAUGACAAUGUAUUUCUUGCACAUGUUUGCUGGUGUAGAUGAGUGAGUGGAUGAGAUGUGAGAAGUUGCAGUAUAAUAUAUUUAACCAAGCAAGGAUGACAGACUGAAAACAAUCGCAAUACUAAGUUACCAUUUCAUUUCCCAGACCAGAUGCUUUUUUUUGUUAUACUGUUUAUAUGUUGAGGUAAUGAAAUUACUUAAUACCAUAUCAUCCAGCAGUGUCUUUGAUCAUAGUGGCUGUGUUGAAGCCUGAUUAUGUCAUGGCAUGCCAAAUUUGGCAGAACUAUAAGUAGACAGCCACAAUGACAUUGGUACUACCAUCGUUCAGUUUAUUUUCUCUUGUUUGUUUUGAGCUAACGGAGCAAUUGUCUUAGUUAUAUUUCUCUGGUUAUUAUGUGGGUUAAUAGCACUUUAUUAAACUUUUUUUCUAAAAUACAGAUACUAUAUAUAGUUACAUGAAAUACUAACAUCUUUUAAGAAUGGCUUUUGGCUGUUGGUUCUUCUUAAGAAAAAAACAUGACCCCUUACCGAAAUACAAAAUUUCCCUCAGGUAGCAUUGGUAAAGCCAUGACAAAGUUGGAAGAAUUUUAUUUGUCUGCCAAAUGGUUCAACACAAGGUCUAUGUAUUGUGCUCCAAUUAUAGUAAUAAAAAAUAUAAUUUGAAUAGCUGAAAUAUUGGAGUAAUAUGUAAUUAUAAAUAGAGCUGUGGUAAUACACAAACUAUUUAGAUGGCAGAAAAAACUGCCAUGGCUUUAAAGUAGCUGUCAACAUAUUAGCAGGGCUGGGCGAUAUUAGCCAAAAAUUGUCAUGAUACACCCCCCAUCCGGAUGAUAUAUGGUAUAUUCCCUAAUGAUUAUGAUGGUUAUAAUGAUUAUGUAUUCCUCGCACAAAUACUUUAUUAAGAUAUAUUGAAAACUUUCAGCUUGUCAGUCAAUUUAAGUGGAAUUGAUGCGGUCCUAUUGUUUUGUGUUUUGGAGCUUGCUUAAAAUAAAAUAUUUCCAGGUUUUUGAUUUCCCCCAGGUUGUGUUUUGUUUAACUCAUAAAUAUGUAUGGUUACUUUCUAUUUGAGAAAAAACACAGUGGAUGUUCUAACUUCACAACAAUGCUUAAACCAAAUCAACCUUUGUGUUUUAUUUUUAUUUUGCAUGUACAACCCCCUUUUCCAAACAAAUUGGGCUGCUGUGUAAAAUGGAAAUAAAAACAGAAUGCUUAGAUGUGCAAAUCAUUUAAACCCUAUAUACAAUAGAAAAUAGUACACUGAAAACAUCAAAUGUUGAAACUUAAAAAUGUUAUUGUUCCUUAAACUAUAUGCCCACUUUAAUGCCAGGACCACAUUUCAAGAAAGCUGGGACAGGGGCAACAAAACACUGGAAAUGUUGUGUAAUGCAAAAAAACGAAUAUCACACAACUAAUUAGGUUAAUUCGCCACAGAUCAGUAACAUGAUUGAGCAUUAGAAGAGCAUCCCAGAGAGGGGGAGUCUUUCAGAAGUAAAGAUGGGGAAGGUUUCACCAUUCUGUGAAUGACUGUGUGGGCAAAUAGUGCAACAAUUUAAGAAUAAUGUUUCUUAACGUAUAAUUGCAAAGAGUUUGGGGAUCUCAUCAUCUACGGUACAUAAUAUCAUUAAAUGAUUCAGAGAAUCCAGAGAAAUCUGUAUGCAAGGGACAAGGCAAAAAAACUAUAUUGGAUGGCCAUGAUCUUCGGGCCCUCAGAUGGCACUGUAUUAAAAACAAACACGAUUCUGUUGUUGACAUCGCUGCAUGGUCUCCGGAAUAAAUCUGAAAACCAUUGUCUGUGAACAAAGUUUGUUGCUGCAUCCACAAAUGUAAAUUAAAACUCGACCAUGCAAAGAAGAAACCAGAUAUAAACAAGGUCCAGAAACGCUGCGGUGUCCUUUGGACCCAAGCUCAUUUAAGAUGGACUGAAGUGUGGGAAGAGGAAAACUGUCCUGUGGUCUGACAAAUCAAAAAUAUGAAUUAUUUUUGGGGUUCAUGGACGAAGCGUCUUUUGGGCUAAAAAGGAAAGGGAUCAUCCUGGAUGUUAGCAGUGCACAGUAAAAAAGCCAACAUCUGUGAUGGUAUGGGGGUGCGUCUUUUUCAGGGAAGGCCCUGCUUAUUUCAGCAGGACAAUGCCAAACCACAUUCUACAUGAAUUACUACAGCAUAGCCUCUUAGUAAAAGAGUCCAAGUGCUAAACUGGCCUGCCUACAAUUCAGACCUGUCACCCAUUGGAAAUAUUUGGUGCGUUAUGAUAGGAUAAAAUAGGACAAAGGAAACCCCGAACUGUCGAGCAGUUGCAAUCCUACAUCAAUCAAGAAUGGGAAAACAUUUUGCAUUCAUAACUACAGCAAUUGUUUGUCUCAGUUCCCAAAUGCUUACUGAGUGUUGUUAAAAGAAGAGGUGAUUCAACACAGCGGUAAACAUGCCCCGUCCAAACUUUUUUAAAACAUGUAGCUGGCAUCAAAUUCAAAAUGGGCAUAUAUAUUCUUCCAAAAACUAAAAUUUCUCUGGUUGUUUUUGUACUAUUUUCAAUUAAAUAUAGGGAUUAAAUUAUUUGCACGUCAUUGCAUUCUGUUUUUAUUCGUAUUUUACGCAGCGUCCAAACUUAUUUUGGAAGCAGGGCAAGAGACUUGUUUGGCUGGCUGUGUUUCUGUAACACACAUCAUCGCAGCAUUUUAUAAAUAUAUU
ensembl:lncRNA